CUACGGGCGGCUGCAGUCGAGAAUCUUUCGCAAUGGGGGAAACCCUGACGAAGCGACGCCGCGUGGGCGAUGAAGGCCUUCGGGUUGUAAAGCCCUGUCACGAGGGACGAAUACAUAAUGGUUAAUAGCCGGCGUGUUUGACGGUACCUCGAGAGGAAGCCACGGCUAACUCCGUGCCAGCAGCCGCGGUAAUACGGAGGUGGCAAGCGUUGUUCGGAUUCAUUGGGUGUAAAGGGCAUGUAGGCGGCUUUUCAAGUCGAUUGUGAAAUCCCUCGGCUUAACUGAGGAACUGCAAUCGAAACUGCAAAGCUUGAGCGCAGAAGAGGAGAACGGAAUUCCCGGUGUAAGAGUGAAAUCUGUAGAGAUCGGGAGGAACACCAGUGGCGAAGGCGGUUCUCUGGUCUGUAGCUGACGCUGAAAUGCGAAAGCUAGGGGAGCAAACAGGAUUAGAUACCCCCGUAGUC
rnacentral:rRNA from 1 species